rnacentral:rRNA from 1 species
UACGAAGGGGGCUAGCGUUGCUCGGAAUUACUGGGCGUAAAGGGCGCGUAGGCGGAUACUUAAGUUAGAGGUGAAAGCCCAGGGCUCAACCCUGGAACAGCCUUUAAUACUGGGUAUCUUGAGUUCGGGAGAGGUGAGUGGAACUCCGAGUGUAGAGGUGAAAUUCGUAGAUAUUCGGAAGAACACCAGUGGCGAAGGCGACUCACUGGCCCGAUACUGACGCUGAGGCGCGAAAAGCGUGGGGAGCAAACAGGGAU